rnacentral:tRNA from 1 species
ACCGAGGUGGUGAAACUGGUAAACACGCUAUCUUGAGGGGAUAGUGCCUGAAGGCUUAUGGGUUCAAAUCCCAUCCUCGGUA